rnacentral:rRNA from 1 species
GACGAACGCUGGCGGCGUGCUUAACACAUGCAAGUCGAACGGAAAGGCCCUGCUUUUGUGGGGUGCUCGAGUGGCGAACGGGUGAGUAACACGUGAGUAACCUGCCCUUGACUUUGGGAUAACUUCAGGAAACUGGGGCUAAUACCGGAUAGGAGCUCCUGCUGCAUGGUGGGGUUGGGAAGGUUUCGGCGGUUGGGGAUGGAUUCGCGGCUUAUCAGCUUGUUGGUGGGUUGGUGGCUUACAAAGGCUUUGACGGGUAGCCGGCCUGAGAGGGUGACCGGCCACAUUGGGACUGAGAUACGGCCCAGACUCCUACGGGAGGCAGCAGUGGGGAAUAUUGCACAAUGGGCGGAAGCCUGAUGCAGCAACGCCGCGUGCGGGAUGACGGCCUUCGGGUUGUAAACCGCUUUCGCCUGUGACGAAGCGUGAGUGACGGUAAUGGGUAAAGAAGCACCGGCUAACUACGUG